CUACGGGCGGCUCCAGUGAGGAAUCUUGCGCAAUGGGGGAAACCCUGACGCAGCGACACCGCGUGGAGGAAGAAGGCCUUCGGGUUGUAAACUCCUUUCGUGGGGGAUGAAAGAUGACAGUACCCCAGGAAGAAGCCACGGCUAACUCUGUGCCAGCAGCCGCGGUAAGACAGAGGUGGCGAGCGUUGUUCGGAUUUAUUGGGCUUAAAGGGCGUGUAGGCGUUUUGACAAGUCAGAUGUGAAAUCCUCCGACUCAAUUGGAGAAUGGCAUUUGAUACUGUUGGGAUUGAGUAGGCGAUGGGAGGGUGGAAUUCCCGGUGUAGCGGUGAAAUGCGUAGAUAUCGGGGGGAACACCUGUGGCGAAGGCGGCCCUCUGGAGCCUUACUGACGCUGAGGCGCGAAAGCGUGGGGAGCAAACAGGAUUAGAUACCCCAGUAGUC
rnacentral:rRNA from 1 species